rnacentral:rRNA from 1 species
AGAGUUUGAUCCUGGCUCAGAAUGAACGCUGGCGGCGUGCUUAACACAUGCAAGUCGCACGAGAACUCUUCUGCUUGCAGAAGAUAGUAAAGUGGCGCACGGGUGAGUAACGCGUGGGUAAUCUACCUCUGAAUUGGGGAUAACAUUGUGAAAGCGAUGCUAAUACCGAAUAAUAUCCCGAGAACUUAGGCUUUUGGGGUCAAAGGUGGCCUCUACAUGUAAGCUACUGUUUAGAGAUGAGCCCGCGUACCAUUAGCUUGUUGGUAGGGUAAUGGCCUACCAAGGCAACGAUGGUUAGCUGGUCUGAGAGGAUGAUCAGCCACACUGGAACUGACACACGGUCCAGACUCCUACGGGAGGCAGCAGUGAGGAAUUUUGCGCAAUGGGGGAAACCCUGACGCAGCAACGCCGCGUGAGUGAUGAAGGCUUUCGAGUCGUAAAGCUCUGUCAAGUGAGAAGAACCUACUUUUUGUUAAUACCAUUAAGUACUGACGGUAUCACUGAAGGAAGCACCGGCUAACUCCGUGCCAGCAGCCGCGGUAAUACGGAGGGUGCAAGCGUUAUUCGGAAUUAUUGGGCGUAAAGGGCGCGUAGGCGGUCUUUUAAGUCAGAUGUGAAAGCCCGGGGCUCAACCCCGGAAGUGCAUUUGAAACUAAUGGACUUGAGUAUGGGAGAGGGAAGUGGAAUUCCUGGUGUAGAGGUGAAAUUCGUAGAUAUCAGGAGGAACACCGGUGGCGAAGGCGACUUCCUGGACCAAUACUGACGCUGAGGCGCGAAGGCGUGGGGAGCAAACAGGAUUAGACACCCUGGUAGUCCACGCAGUAAACGUUGAACACUAGGUGUAGCGGGUAUUGACCCCUGCUGUGCCGCAGUUAACGCAUUAAGUGUUCCGCCUGGGGAGUACGACCGCAAGGUUAAAACUCAAAGGAAUUGACGCGGGCCCGCACAAGCGGU